rnacentral:lncRNA from 1 species
AUGAUUCCAUAUUUCACAAUUGAACUGCAUUUGAGGUUUUUGUUAAGGUCACGGACCCCAGUUAGAAACUGCUGUUCUGAGGCCCCUCAGCCGCCUGGAGACAAAGCUGGAAGCAGAGGCAGUGUGUGUUUUCCUGCUGCCGGUGGACAGGCGCGCAGGAUGCAUUUCCCUCAUCGAACCAGGGAGCGGAGACCCCCGAGCAAGAGAGGGAAGUCCUCGGACCAUCAGCGAGGCAGGUUGCAGAACGUCCUGGGCCGGACCGCAGCUGGGGGCUUUGAGAGUCCUGGGCAAGGAAGCGACGACCCUGAACCGUCUGAAGCGCCAGGCACGGGGCUCCUGGAGCAGUGUCUCUCUCAAGGUCCGGAAACCUUCUUUGAGUCGAACUCGGAAGCCCUCCCAUUUAAAAAAAAAACAACAAAACAAAACCAAGAAGAGAAAAAGGGCCCGUAGAGGAUGCUAGUUGGAAAAAACCCUUAUUAAAUUCACUCCCAUUGUUUCCUUGGAAUGUGGUUCUCUAACACUGAUGUUCUUGUCUUUUCUGCUGACUUAGGACUUGCUGGAUCCUUGACAGCCUCUCCUGAUAUUCUUGCCUUAUCAGAUGUGGACAUCUCCGACACAGGCAAGAUAAAUUCCCAUCCUCAGCCUAGAGAAGCAGUUGGCCUGCUCACUGCAUCUCUGAAAAUGGAUGAGUGGCUAGGCCAGGUCCCUCUGGAAGGGCAACUUUGUGUCCAUUAAAAUACAAAUGCGGAACUCCUGUAAUUUUGUGUGUGUGUAUGUGUGCAAAUACCAAGCUGUAAUCUUAGUUGACCCACCCAGUUGCCUAGGGUCUGGUGCACAGUUCCCCUUUCCUGUUUAUUUUAAAUCGUUACCUAAACAAGAAGAGGAGGAGGAGGGAGUGCAAAGGGAAGUGUCCUAACACUGUUGGGAAGGGUGGAUUGCUAUUUUAUUGUUGCAAAAAUGAAGUUCUCUCCACUUGGAAACAAACACACCAGGCACCAAUUCUCUUUCAGUAACUACUGUUUCAUUCUCUCCAUAAAUGUGUCUUCAAAGGUUAGCUUCCACAUCUGUAAUUUUUUUUUUAAAGGUAAAAAUAUAUUUGGUGGUAAUCCUAUAUCUAAAAACCGGUAGAUAAUUAAAAAAAAAAAAAAAACAAAACAAACAAACUAGGUGAUUUGCAGGGGGAAAAAAUCCCUAGUUCUCAGACAGACUUAUAAGGGCAUCACAUUCCAAAAUACAGAGUUGUUACAGCUUCACAUUUGACCGGUGACUCACUUACUAUUUUAAAAACAAAUAAAAAAGUAGCCUAAAGUAAAGAACA